CCUACGGGAUGCAGCAGUGGGGAAUAUUGCACAAUGGGGGAAACCCUGAUGCAGCGACGCCGCGUGAGCGAUGAAGUAUUUCGGUAUGUCAAGCUCUAUCGGCAGGGAAGAAAAUGACGUUACCUGACUAAGAAGCCCCGGCUAACUACGUGCCAGCAGCCGCGGUAAUACGUAGGGGGCAAGCGUUAUCCGGAUUUACUGGGUGUAAAGGGAGCGUAGACGGCAGUGCAAGCCAGAUGUGAAAGCCCGGGGCGCAACCCCGGGACUGCAUUGGGAACUGUGUGGCUGGAGUGUAGGAGAGGCAGGCGGAAUUCCUGGUGUAGCGGUGAAAUGCGUAGAUAUCAGGAGGAACACCAGUGGCGAAGGCGGCUUGCUGGACGAUGACUGACGUUGAGGCUCGAAGGCGUGGGGAGCAAACAGGAUUAGAUACCCGGGUAGUC
rnacentral:rRNA from 1 species